UAAGACUAUAUUGUUACAAUAUUAUAAUUUAAGUAUAUAAAAUAAUUUAGCUUAUAUAUAUAAUAUAUUUAACUAACUAUACCUUCAGGUAUAGGACAUUAUAGUCUGGUUAGUUUCGAUGGGGCGUCGGCAUCACACAAAAUAACUGAUGUGUCUAACUGAUAAUUAAUAUAAACAUUCUAUUCAUUAUAUAAGAAUAUGAAUAUAAUAGUAUGACCAAGUACAGUAAGACUAGAUUGUAACUAGUACAUAAUAAUAUGUAUAUAACAUAUAUUAAAUGAUAUGGAUAAUAACCUAACUGUGCUAUGAUAAGGAGACUUACAAGUCGACUUAGUACGUAAGUAUAGUAUAAUGAACAGGUGAUUUCUUCAGCAUAGAGUGCCGAUAACG
rnacentral:rRNA from 1 species